rnacentral:misc_RNA from 1 species
UCCGGUUUGUCACCGGCAGUCUCAUUAGAGUGCUCAACUGAAUGGAGCAACUAAUGACAAGGGUUGCGCUCGUUGCGGGACUUAACCCAACAUCUCACGACACGAGCUGACGACAGCCAUGCAGCACCUGUGUUCCGAUUCCCUUUCAGGCACACCCGCCUCUCAGCAGGCUUCGGCACAUGUCAAGGGUAGGUAAGGUUGUUCGCGUUGCAUCGAAUUAAUCCACAUCAUCCACCGCUUGUGCGGGUCCCCGUCAAUUCCUUUGAGUUUUAAUCUUGCGACCGUACUCCCCAGGCGGUCGACUUCGCGCGUUAGCUGCGUUACCGAAGGAGUUACCCUCCGACAACUAGUCGACAUCGUUUAGGGCGUGGACUAC